UAUGGGCUAUACAAAUCAAAUUUGAUUGAUUGAUUGAAAUACAAUUUGAAAAAAAUCAAAUAUACACAGGUGCUUAGGGUCUACCAGGCGCAUUAUAUGAGUGAACUAUUAUUGUCUGAUUAAGUUAUGUUUAACCUGUUGAAAUAGGCUUUUUUUUUAUGAUGUUGAAGGGGGCGGUGCCCCGUAUUAACAAGACGUCUAAGGACAUUUUCUUGAUUUUGAUAUGUUAUCUUAAAUUUGCCUUAAUAAGCUUUUGCAUUAGCAUGAUGCAAAAGUGUUUUAUAUACUUUUUCAUGACACGUCUGUCUAUAUACUGGGGCUCAAAUUUGACCUAGCGCACCUAGGGUAAAAAAGACAAUUUUACCCUAAAAGUGUAGGAUUAAAUUAAAAUUUUCAAAUCUUUUUUUGUAAAACUACACCAUUGCGGAUGAACUGUUUUGAUGCUUAAAAUUGGUUUUCCGAAAUCUUGGGUUCUGGAAAGUAGGGGAAUUAGUUAUAAAGUAGAUGAUGAAUUUCAAAUCAUUGUCAAAAAUAAUUGUAAAAACACUUUUUGAGCAGAAGUGUUCUUUGGCUGUUUCUUUGCAAGAAGUGCAGUAAUUUGCUGUUGUAUUUCUUGCUCACCUGCCACGCCUCCACGCAUACCUGCAGACUGUUUUCUGUCCUCCUCACACACACGAACACACUACCAUACCUGUCAAAGCUGCUACACCAGUUUAGCAACUUCACACACCCAUUUAUCUUUCCCCUUUUUCUGUCGCAAGUCAUUGUGAACUGAACAUCUCAACUGCAGGACAGCACAGUAGAGGGACGGAAGAAAACAAGGGCAUUGCACUACAAUUUGGUGAAGAGCAUUUCGACAGUAUGGGUGCUGGCCAGAGCAGCGACAAGUUCCACUGUAACCGCUAUCUGAAUGGACAGGGACCUCCAUCACUGGUGCAACAAGCUAAUGAUGGGGUGAAUAGAAAAUACAACGUACUAAAUGGCUGCCAGCCAGAGGGCCAGACAACCUGUGUAAUCCUACACAGAGACCUGCCAGGAUUCCCUAAUGACAACACCCUACAGAUCAACUUCAUGUUUCCAGAUGGAAUCCAGACACACACCUCCCUACCCUUACAUGAGGCUUCAUUGAAAGUGAGGCAUGGAGAACAGAAGCUAAAAGACCCUAUCACAGAACAGAGCAGGAAAAACAUCCUCACCCUGGCCAACCAUAUUCAGGUCUGCAUCUCUGUGCUUACCUGCCUGACAACCUUGACGGCAGGAAGGUUUUCAAGCUGCUGGACAAGGCCUUUCACCAGCAGCUCUUGUUCACUGUUGCUGCUGGUAAAGAUGGAGGGGACAUGGUCAACUCUUCCAUCCCCCUAAAAAUACAAGCAUAUGGAGGGAACCAAGUUGAAUGCUAUCCAGACUCGGACUACCUGAAGACUGUGAGAAAACUCCUGAAGGAUAAUGGCAAUGAAUGACACACAAUACAAACUGCUGGAUGAAGGCAUAGUAAAGUUGACCUCUGAAAAGUCAAACAAUCUAUUCUAUUCUAUUCUAUUCACUUGAUGAACUAGAUUUUUAGAUUCUUAAUUAUCAUAUAGUACCGACAGAGAGGUGUCUGAUUGGUCCCAGAUUUAUUCUGCAGUAAGAUAUAUACAGCCAGAGAUAUUAGCCAUUUCCAAAUUGCGCACUUUAGGGUUGAAUGCAGCCCGCAAACUACAAUGACAGUCAGUAAAGCAAAUAACUCUGCCAAUAUGAUUGUCUAGCUCUCAUAGUAGAAAUAUUCAAAAGGGAAGUGAUCAUAUUUCUCAUAAAAUUAGUUUAAGACAGUGAAACCAAAAUGUAAUAGUUUAGUAGUUUAUGUAAUCCUUCUAAAAAUGAAAUAAACAAAAAGACAUGGGUGAAAAAAUAACCUCCAUUGCAAAAGUAAUAAGCUCUAAAAGCUUACCCUAAGAUAAAAGGACUCCUCUUCUGGCAAUGUGAAAAGAGACAAUAACCUUUUAGCAGGUUUACUUAUUUUCCAAAAAACUAAAAAAUGUAUGCUCUAUUUUGUAUUGAAACUUCACGAACACAAUUCAAAAUGCCACAAGACUUGUCCACAGCGUAAAGAAGGAGGUGGAGUGCCCACAUAUUAUAAAAUGAAAGUGAUAUACAGAAAACAGUCAUUUCUUUUGGUCUAUGGAUUCAGCUCUUUCUAUUCACAUACCUCACAACAAACUUUAGUAUACUAAAAUACAGCAGGUCAUAUUUGAUUCCCAGAAUCUCCAAUGGUCUCUUCCAUCACCAGACAAAAGCAUAAAUCUCUCAUUGAUAAAACAUCCUUUUUCCCCCAACAUAACAACUUCAGAAAUCAGUGAUUUCCACAUAGAAAUAAAGGGAGGGUCAUCCCUGACCGAUUUCACCAUAAUGCCUUUACUUGCCCGUAUCAAAGGUGAUUGAACAGUAUCUUGAUGUUGUAUUAGUGUGUCAGGAAUAUUUCCAAGGAGACAUAGAAGUAGAUUUGCAAACACUUGAUUGUCUAAUGCUGUGUAUCUCAAAUGUAUUGCAUUCCCACAGGCAUUGAAGCCAGGUGCCAAUGUGAGUUUUACAUUGGAGACAGUUAGAUUUAUACUUGUGAUGUCUAUUACUUUUAAUAUCUAUAUUUUUGUUAAUUAAUAUAAUUUAUAUGGUUGUGGGUUUUAUAUUAUACAUAUUGUUUUAUAAGCACGUUUUUACUUGUAGUUAUUAUGAUUAUUAUCUCUACAUUUGUCCAAUGUACACCAAGAUGUUAACCAUGCCAGUUUUUCCAGAUGCAAACUAAACAUCUUUUAAUAACAUGUUUGUGCUCUUUAUAGUCCAAAAUAAAAUCUCUAAUGGGUUAGAAUCUA